ACGAACGCUGGCGGCGUGCUUAACACAUGCAAGUCGAACGGAAAGGCCCUGCUUUUGUGGGGUGCUCGAGUGGCGAACGGGUGAGUAACACGUGAGUAACCUGCCCUUGACUUUGGGAUAACUUCAGGAAACUGGGGCUAAUACCGGAUAGGAGCUCCUGCUGCAUGGUGGGGUUUGGAAAGUUUCGGCGGUUGGGGAUGGACUCGCGGCUUAUCAGCUUGUUGGUGGGGUAGUGGCUUACCAAGGCUUUGACGGGUAGCCGGCCUGAGAGGGUGACCGGCCACAUUGGGACUGAGAUACGGCCCAGACUCCUACGGGGGGCAGCAGUGGGGAAUAUUGCACAAUGGGCGGAAGCCUGAUGCAGAAACGCCGCGUGCGGGAUGACGGCCUUCGGGUUGUAAACCGCUUUCGCCUGUGACGAAGCGUGAGUGACGGUAAUGGGUAAAGAAGCACCGGCUAACUACGUG
rnacentral:rRNA from 1 species